rnacentral:rRNA from 1 species
GACAGAGGGGGCAAGCGUUGCUCGGAAUCACUGGGCGUAAAGGGCGCGUAGGCGGGAUGGCAAGUCAGUCGUGAAAUCUCUCGGCUCAACCGAGAAACGUCGGCUGAUACUGCCGUUCUUGAGGGAUGCAGAGGAGACUGGAAUUCCCGGUGUAGCGGUGAAAUGCGUAGAUAUCGAGAGGAACACCUGCGGCGAAGGCGGGUGCUGGGCUGACACUGACGCUGGAGGC